GAUGAACGCUGGCGGCGUGCCUAAUACAUGCAAGUCGAGCGAACAGACGAGGAGCUUGCUCCUCUGACGUUAGCGGCGGACGGGUGAGUAACACGUGGAUAACCUACCUAUAAGACUGGGAUAACUUCGGGAAACCGGAGCUAAUACCGGAUAAUAUAUUGAACCGCAUGGUUCAAUAGUGAAAGACGGUUUUGCUGUCACUUAUAGAUGGAUCCGCGCCCCAUUAGCUAGUUGGUAAGGUAACGGCUGACCAAGGCAACGAUGCGUAGCCGACCUGAGCGGGUGAUCGGCCACACUGGAACUGAGACACGGUCCAGACUCCUACGGGAGGCAGCAGUAGGGAAUCUUCCGCAAUGGGCGAAAGCCUGACGGAGCAACGCCGCGUGAGUGAUGAAGGUCUUCGGAUCGUAAAACUCUGUUAUUAGGGAAGAACAAAUGUGUAAGUAACUAUGCACGUCUUGACGGUACCUAAUCAGAAAGCCACGGCUAACUACGUG
rnacentral:rRNA from 1 species